UAGAUUGAUACCGGGUCAGUGAGGGGGGGUACCUCCCCCGCCAGUGAUUCUCGGCCCUGGAAGGGGGGGUAAUACCGGCUACCAUUUCUGCCUGCCUGGGCGGGGGGUGAAAGCUCCGGCGGUGAAGGAUGAGCCCGCGGCCUAUCAGCUUGUUGGGGGGGUAAUGGCCCACCAAGGCGACGACGGGUAGCCGGCCUGACCUGCGACCGGCAACACUGGGACUGGGACUCAGACCAGACUCCUACUGGUGGCAGAGGUGGGGAAUAUUGAUCUUUGGGCGAAAGCCUGAUGCUGCUACGCCGCGUGAGGGAUGACGGCCUUCGGGUUGUAAACCUCUUUCUCUAGGGAAGAAGCAAAAGUGACGGUGCCUGCACAAGAAGCGCCGGCUACCUACAUGUCAGCGCCCGCGGUAAUACUUAUGGCGCAGGCGUUGUCCGGAAUUAUUGUUAUUGAAGAGCUAGAAGGCGGAUUGUCUCUGCCGAUGUGGAAGCCCAAGGCUUAACCUCGGGUCUGCAUUCGAUACGGGCUAGGUAGAGUGAGAUAGGGGAGAUCGAAAUUCCUGGUGUAGCGGUGAAAUGCACAUAUAUCAAGAUGAAACAGCAAUGGCGAAGGCGAAUCUCUGUCUCUUGACUUACGCUGAGGAGCAGAAAGCGUGGGGGAGCGAACGCGAUUAGAUAUCCUGGUCGUGCCA
rnacentral:rRNA from 1 species